GUCACUGACGUCCAAUCUAAGCUCAAAGCGAUGGGGGGGAGGCGGAAUUCAGCACGGAAGAGCCACAGCGAUUGGGUGAGGGCUCGAUCGACUGCCGCCUUAUAAGGCAGUGUAAGGGGAGCUAUUUUUAGAGAGCUAUAUAAAGGGGUAGGGCUGGUUGAUGUGUUGCGAGGCUUGGGAGUGUGAGAGUGAUGGUGAGGUGCUGGCUUGUGUGAUGGGGGCUGGGAGUUGUAGAGUUGUUCUCUGUCUCCGCUCCAUGCAAAUUUCAAAGGAGCAGCAGCGAUAAAAAAAGGUGUCUCUGCGUUGCAGCAGGCAGAGUUUUGCAUGGCCGAGCGAAAAACCGUAGCAAGCCCGAGAACAGGAAUAAAUUACAGCAGGAAACUCCUGGUUCGCAGUGAGCUCUGCGGGCGCCCGGUGAUGGAGGACCGCUUUCCUCCUCUAGAAACUGCUCGCUGAUUCCAGACCCUGUUCCAAGUUCCCCCUUUGAAACAGUGUGCGAAAAAAAGAUGAUGAGAGAGAGGGAGUAGUAACAGUCAGGAUUUUGGUACCGUUUGGUGAGCGCCGUUCCGGAUAGACCCUCCGCACUAUUGUGGGCUUCAUCUGAACGAACUAGCGAAAAAGAAAAGUACGUGGGCUGUCAGACUAAGGCUGCAAUCCUAUAUGUAAGCGCUCUGAUAGUAAGACCCGUUGAAAGAGGGACUUGCUUCAGAAUAAACACCCACGGUUUUCACCUGGUAACAUAGUUCUCACGUUUGGAAGCUCUGCCUUUUGUGGUGUGCCGCUUCCCAACUCCUAGCCAAGGUCUGCUGUAAUGGAGUUCCCCACUGGUUUACCUAGAACCAGACUUAGUGAGUGAGCUGGCCAGUCGCCCAGGGUGCUGAGCUGAGAGGGGUGCUAAGCAAAGAUCUGCACGUGCUGCUACUUGAAGACUCCUGGUGCUUCUGCAACGGCAGGAUGAAAAGCUGGUUCUGAAGUGCCAUAGCAAGAUGGCGCUGGGUUCCUUGGACACCAAGCAGACAUUCAGCCCUGUCCUCAAGCUCAACGCGGUCCUCAUCCGCUCCGUAGCCACAGGUACAGGAGAGGCCUCGCUGUGCGCCUGGUGCUUGAUCCUGGAGAGCCCUACUUUGGCCUGCACUACAGGCCAGACAGCUUUGCCCCAAGUCUCUGAGUAGUAUUGGGACCCCAGAUCUACAAGGUGGUUGCUUCAACAACUUCAGAAAAGAAUAUGUAAGAUUUUUACCUGCUUGUUUUUCAGCAGGAGAUGAAGAAGUCUGUGGUGAUGAGUCAGGAAGAGCACACAGGCUGCUGAGGGGGAAGGGGAGGGUGGGGAGUUUGUUUGCUUAUUACGCUUAUAUCCCACCUUUCCCCAAAAGACCUCAAGAUGGUGUCCCCCUCCUGAUAUUAUCCUCACAACAACCCUAUGAGGUAGGUUAGGCUGAGAGAGACAGUGACACGUGCCCAAGGUCACCCAGUGAGUGGGGAUUUCAACCCUGGUGUUCCAGGUCCCAAUCCAACAGGCCUGCCCUCAGGAGGACUUUGAGGGGGAUUCCAGAUGGGGAGGGGCUUACAUGGCAAACAGGUCAUCCAGAUCAGAAUUUUCUCUGUGCAGGGGUGUGUGGCACGUUAUCUUCCACACUUUCCUGUUUUUUUGAGUCAUGGGUAUUUGUUGCUAUUCCGCUGCUUGCUGUCUGUUCCUGUGGGUGGAGCUUGACAGAAUGCAGCCUCCCCUCAAUUGCUCCUCUCCCUCCACUUCCAUUUUCCAUUAAAAAAAAAAAGUAUGGGAUGGCAUUCUGAUACCAACGUUGUCAAGUGUUUCUGUAAGUCACUUUGAGUUCACUUUUGUGAGAAAAGCAACUAAUAAAAUAAUCAUAAACAGAUGCUGUAAAAACUUGCAUUUUGCAAGUUGACCCUACUUGUUUUUACUUUUUGUAAAUUGCUUUGAUGUUUUUAAUGAAAUUGUGGUGUAGAAAUAUAUUUAUAAAUAUUUAUUUAUUUAUAAAUGAGCAGCACUGGUUCCACAAUUAGCUCCCCACCUGGAAGCUCACCUGCAGAAAGGGUAGAUAUGAUUCUUAAGUUCAUUAGGUGAGCCAUUUCCCGCAGGCUUGGUUUGGUUUGGAUUGUGCUGUUGGUAAAGCUUGACUAGGGAUCCUCUGCAAAGAUAUCCAUAUCCAAGCAGGGUUGGAAUGCCCUGUCCCUACCUGACCUGGGGGCUGCAGUUAGUGCAGAAUUCUGUGGCACGAUUGCUGACACGAGUGAGACCCUAUCGGCACAUAAUACCUCUGCACCGAUUGUCGAUUUGCUACGAGGCCAAGUUCAAGAUGUGCUUUCCAUGUUAUGGGUUCCACAUUGUACUUGUUCUACUCUUCUACAAAAUCAGUCCUUUAGCAGCUACCAUUUGGAACUCCCUGCCUAUUGAUAUUAGGCAGACACAGUCAUUGUACUCUGCUAAAAAUGUUUUUGUUUAGGCAAGUCUACCCAGGCAUGUAGAAGCUAUUGUGUUUUUUAUCUGUUUUUAACUCAUUGUUGGUUUUAUUAUUUUGAAUUUUAAAUACCUGUCUUUAACUGUUUCUGCCAAUAAUUUCAUUGUUUUAAUUCCUUCUGUAAACUGCUUUGAGAUUUUUUACAAUAAAACGGUAUAUAAAUGUAAAUAAAAUACAGAAAUAAAGUUUGUAGUCCCUGUG